UACGUAGGCAGCGAGCGUUGUUCGGAGUUACUGGGCGUAAAGGGUGUGUAGGCGGUUGUUUAAGUUUGGUGUGAAAUCUCCCGGCUCAACUGGGAGGGUGCGCCGAAUACUGAAUGACUUGGAGUGCGGGAGAGGAAAGUGGAAUCCUGGUGUAGUGGUGAAAUGCGUAGAUAUCAGGAGGAACACCGGUGGUGUAGACGGCUUCUGGACCGUAACUGACGCUGAGACACGAAAGCGUGGGUAGCAAACAGG
rnacentral:rRNA from 1 species